GGCGUUUCUCCUCCCUCAAGACUCCAGGAGAAGGAGCCUGGAUCCAGUAGCUACUUAAUGCGCGUUCCAGUUCAAAAAUAUUCAUUUUGUUUUUCAGGUAAAUCUUGCCAGAUCCUUCCGGACUGCAGACCCAGGAGCGCACGGAGCAGGCACACAUACACUCACUCCAACGCCAUAGAACCAUGUCAGACUCAGAGACUGCAGCUCCUGCCGAGACCCCUGUCCCAGCACCCUGUGUGGCCAUCAAGGCAGAUUUAGACAAAUGUGUAAAGGAGAAUGGUGAGGAAGCGUGUAAGGAGCUAAUGGAGGCGUUUGCCGCCUGUGUGAAGAGCAACGCUGAGGCGUCAUGAGGAGCUUAGCAUGCAGGAAAAGGGUUUACUGCACUGAGUCCUCCACCUUCCCAGCAUUCCCUGCAGCUCGUGGCACUGGACUAAAUGAUGGGGUUUGGGGCAGCAGAGACCCCCCCCCCCGUGAACCUCAAAUGGAUUUCUCCAACCAGUUUGCUGUAUGCAAAA